GCUCGGUCCUUAACCCAGGCCAAACCAACACCAAUGGCCCGCCAGAAGACUACAAGUGAAAAACUCAAAACUCAAAGGACUUGACGGUGCCCCACCCCCCUAGAGGAGCCUGUCCUAUAAUCGAUACCCCACGCUACACCCAACCCGCCCUAGCACUUCAGCCUAUAUACCGCCGUCGCCAGCCUACCUCAUGAGAGCUUAACCGUAGGCCAAAUGAUUCCCCACCAACACGUCAGGUCAAGGUGUAGCUAAUGGGCGGGAAGAGAUGGGCUACAUUUUCUAAACUAGAACACUACCACCAGCGGCAUGAAACACCCAGCCAAAAGGCGGAUUUAGCAGUAAACAAGACAAUGACAUGUCAUCUUGAAGCCAGCCCUGGGGCGCGU
rnacentral:rRNA from 1 species